rnacentral:pre_miRNA from 1 species
CUCUGUCUCCACUGCACUCGUCGAACGCGUUAGAACGCGAGAGCCAAACGCCGGACGCCAGCGUUCCGCGUUCUAACCAAUUCGACGAGUGCAGUGGAGACAGAGG